UACGAAGGGGGCUAGCGUUGUUCGGAAUCACUGGGCGUAAAGGGCGCGUAGGCGGCCGAUCAAGUCGGGGGUGAAAGCCUGUGGCUUAACCACAGAAUGGCCUUCGAUACUGUUUGGCUUGAGACCGUAAGAGGUUAGUGGAACUGCGAGUGUAGAGGUGAAAUUCGUAGAUAUUCGCAAGAACACCAGUGGCGAAGGCGGCUGACUGGUCCGGUUCUGACGCUGAGGCGCGAAAGCGUGGGGAGCAAACAGG
rnacentral:rRNA from 1 species